UACGGAGGGGGCUAGCGUUGUUCGGAAUUACUGGGCGUAAAGCGCACGUAGGCGGCUUUGCAAGUUAGAGGUGAAAGCCCAGGGCUUAACCCUGGAAUUGCCUUUAAAACUGCAUCGCUAGAAUUGUGGAGAGGUAAGUGGAAUUCCGAGUGUAGAGGUGAAAUUCGUAGAUAUUGGGAAGAACACCGGUGGCGAAGGCGGCGACCUGGUCCUUAACUGACGCUGAGGCGCGAAAGCGUGGGGAGCAAACAGG
rnacentral:rRNA from 1 species